rnacentral:lncRNA from 1 species
CCAACGGCAUAGCAACACCUACUCUUCCUUCUGAUGCAGCCUUCCUGGAUCCAUAAUUUGGCUUCCUUGUUUAUUGAUUGCUUGCAAUCGCCACAACACCAUUGAGUGAGCGUCAUAGAAUCCUCAAGGCGUGAAGUAGAAGUUCUUCGAACCUUGAUUGUGUGUGUUCGUGCCCACUCCAAUAGAGCAUUUGGCCCUGUGAGUUCUGACUACGAAAGCUACCUAUGUCAAUCAGUAUAGCCACUAGAGGGAUUGGAACAGGUA